rnacentral:lncRNA from 1 species
CCUGGAGUAGGAAAAUGGCAACCCACUCCAGUAUUCUUGCCUGGAAAAUCCCAUGGGCAAAGCAGCCUGGUGGGCUACAGUCCAGGGGUUGCCAGAGAGUCGGGCAUGACUGAGCACACACGCACACAUCUUCCUAUAAGGCACUGCCACAGCAGAAUGAUCCAAGUCUAACACUGUGAGGACAACUGUGAUUUACAAAUAAAACAGGGAUUUUUUUUUUUUUUACUUUUCCUUUGGCACAUCCAGUGAACAAUUGUAAUCUUUAUCAAGGUGCUAGCAUUUUCAGUGACCCAACUGCCAAAUGCAGUAUUACUGAGUUACUAUUUUAUUCUACAUGAUUUCUUGGUUUGCAAGAAAGAGCUCUUUAAGUCUUUUUGUCAAGGCUGGGCGCAACUUGAUAAUCAAAGUUUGGGAAAUUGUACCUAAUGGUCAUUCAGAUUGGCAGGGUUUAGUGACAGAAGCUCCAUGUAUAUUGAGGAUAUUUAAGGUGACAUCCAAACUUGAAAAGCAUCAGGUUGCUGUAGCCCAGUUUUAGAUGAGUCACAUUCCAUCAUGUACUAAGGCAUCUGCAUUCCUUUCAAACAAACUUGUUUCAAGUUUCUUAUACACAAAGGACCUUUUGUGUAUAUUUGGCUGGAUUUCAAGUUUUGCAGUAUUUUAUGUCUGUACACUUGGCUACUCUAUCUCCAUCUUUUCUGUAACAAUUCACAACAUAUUAGAAACAUUUCACCCCACGCUGAGUAUAUCUAAGAUAGAGUAUCAUACUGUGUGACUUUGUGAAACUAGACUUUGGAUUAAGAAAUGUAUAUUGUCUCUGGAUGGUAUUUUUGCAUUGCACACUCCAGCAUAACAUAAAUGUAGGAGUUGACAAAUACUGCUUACAUUUUAAUAAGAUCAUUCAUCAGAGGAAAUCAUGCAUGUGCUUUGUAAAUAGACUGUGGAUAACUAAACAGAUUGCAGGAAUAUGUUGGAUUUGAUUUGGGCAGUGGCCACAGAUAUUUGACUUCUAUAUUAGUGUCUGUGAGUCAAGUCAGGUAAUAAACCAAAAUAGGUAUAGAACUGAUAUUUUUAAGUCUUGAAAGAUGCUUUCAAGGCAGAGUAAAAUAUUGAAGAUUUACAUGCUGUAUACAAGCAGUAAAAUGUAAGCUGCUUUUUACUCUCAGUUCUCCAGAAGUGAUGGCAUUUUUUCAGUGAAUACAAUGCUGUUGGAAAAUUUAAAAAAAAAAGAUCUUGGAAAACGAAGACGGGUCUUGUUUAAAAUGUCUCUUCAGCUUUGGCAUAUUUCAAACCUGAAACAACUAUUGAAAGCAUUACUGUGUUUUGUAGCCUACAUUCCACAACAGCUCUAUUAUUCAGGUAAACCACUUGAAAUAAGAUGUUUGGGACCUUUACUGUAAUAUUUUUCAUUAAGGAACAAUAUCCUAUUUUGUAAAGCAUUUCCUUAUGUGUGACUUUAAACUGUAAAAUUAAACAUUGGUUUUGUGGUUUCAGUGGGCAUAAUAAAUGUAAAUUGUAAAAUAGGUUAAAGUAUGUACGGCAUAUAAUAUGUUUUAGAGGUAGAAACUACUGUCUGUUCUCAUAACAGCAAUACGACCAAGCUAGGUCUUAAUGAAGCCCCAGGUUCUCUAUAAUCUCUACCAUCUCUCAUCCACUUUGGCACAGGCCUUUAAUACUUUGUCUGUCUUAAACUAUAAUGAACUUUUGCUUCAAGUUCUUCUUACCAGACCAUCAGCCCCUACAUCUGUCUAGUAUCAAACUUCUGAUGUUAAAUUGGAACCACAAGCAACAUAACCUACCUACUUUAUCCUUACUUUUAUAAAGAUAAAUGUAUUCUAGCUAUAAAACUAAAAAGCCAAAAAAAUAAUGCAUGCACGGAAAUUUAAAAGGCAUUAACAUUCACUAGCAAAAGGCUAUUUAUUUGGUAUCAAAUUUAUAGCAUUAAGAUUCUGAAGGACAUAAAUUCCUUCUAAAACUGAAAUCAUUACUAGUUAGUAUACAUUGCAAACCCUGAAUUUCUCUUUCUUAUCAAACAGUACUUCAGAAUUGUACUUUAAAUUUUCUUCUUGGUAGGAUGUAUAAUGUUGAAAGAAAU